ACCACCUCACUGCUCUGCCUCCAAAUGUGAGCACGCCAUUAGUCUCUCUCCGCUCACCAAUUAUCAUCCCCAACUUGCGAGCUUAAAGAGAGGUACCAAGGUAAAGGAGAAAGGGGAAGGGGUAGGUACAGAGAUAGGACAGAGAGGGAAAGAUGAGUAGAGUGCCCCUCCUCACCCCCUACAAGAAGGGAAGAUUUGAUCUUUCCCACAGGUACAAAGAUACUCCUGGCAUUUGGACAAAGGAGCAAGUGGAAGCAUGGAAGCCAAUUAUCGACGGGGUUCAUGCGAAAUGAGGAAUAUUUUCUGCCAGAUUUGGCAGGUUCUACCGGUGAGGAGGAGCUCGUGUUUGGCUACUUCAAGCUCGCCGAUGUAGGUGAUGGGAAUGAGUAGUGCAAACUACUCGUGUGGCGAGGCUUUUGGGUGGAGCCUAAGAGCAUAUGGCUUCACCUAGCUUUGUUGGUUCAUAGAUGUUAAUCUUCCGCUGCGUAGUUUCUAGUUUUAGUUAGGAGGUGAUCUGUUUUUUAUCCUCCUAGCUUUCUUUUGAUGUAAAUUAUUGAAUGCUUAAGAACU